AUGGUUGAACUUGAAAGGCAUGUCAUGCUUCCUACUAUUUAUCAUCUCAUUGAGUUGGCAUUGCUACUACCAGUAGCGACGACAACAGUUGAUAGGGGCUUCUUAUCAAUGAAAAUCAUCAAGACUUAGUUGCGCAACAAGAUGUCCGCUGGCUGGCUUAAUGACUUGAUGGUGUGUUACAAUGAGCGAGGGGUCUUCAAAGGUAUUGAUCUUGGUAAAACUAACGAAGAUUUUCAGAAGGAGGGCAGGACACUGCCCUUGUCUUGUCCUUCUAGACGCCAUUGA
rnacentral:rRNA from 1 species